GCACAAGCGGUGGACGAUGUGGUUUAAUUCGAUGCAACGCGAAAAACCUUACCCACCUUUGACAUGUACGGAAUUUGCCAGAGAUGGCUUAGUGCUCGAAAGAGAGCCGUAACACAGGUGCUGCAUGGCUGUCGUCAGCUCGUGUCGUGAGAUGUUGGGUUAAGUCCCGCAACGAGCGCAACCCUUGUCAUUAGUUGCUACAUUCAGUUGGGCACUCUAAUGAGACUGCCGGUGACAAACCGGAGGAAGGUGGGGAUGACGUCAAGUCCUCAUGGCCCUUAUAGGUGGGGCUACACACGUCAUACAAUGGCUGGUACAAAGGGUUGCCAACCCGCGAGGGGGAGCUAAUCCCAUAAAACCAGUCGUAGUCCGGAUCGCAGUCUGCAACUCGACUGCGUGAAGUCGGAAUCGCUAGUAAUCGUGGAUCAGAAUGUCACGGUGAAUACGUUCCCGGGUCUUGUACACACCGCCCGUCACACCAUGGGAGCGGGUUCUGCCAGAAGUAGUUAGCUUAACCGCAAGGAGGGCGAUUACCACGGCAGGGUUCGUGACUGGGGUGAAGUCGUAACAAGGUAGCCGUAUCGGAAGGUGCGGCUGGAUCACCUCCUU
rnacentral:rRNA from 1 species